rnacentral:rRNA from 1 species
GACGAACGCUGGCGGCGUGCUUAAUACAUGCAAGUCGAGCGAGGUUACUGUUUCGGAUCCCUUCGGGGUGAAGAAGCUUUAACCUAGCGGUGGACGGGUGAGUAACGCGUGGGUAACCUACCCCAAAGUCCGGGAUAACAGCGGGAAACCGCUGCUAAUACCGGAUGUCUUUACCUUGGGGCAUCUUGAGGUAAAGAAAGGUAACGCUUUGGGAUGGGCCCGCGUCCCAUUAGCUAGUUGGUGAGGUAACGGCUCACCAAGGCGACGAUGGGUAGCCGGCCUGAGAGGGUGGACGGCCACACUGGGACUGAGACACGGCCCAGACUCCUACGGGAGGCAGCAGUAGGGAAUAUUGCGCAAUGGACGGAAGUCUGACGCAGCGACGCCGCGUGAGCGAUGAAGGUCUUCGGAUCGUAAAGCUCUGUCCUUGGGGAAGAAGGUCUUCGGACUUGACGGUACCCAAGAAGAAAGCCCCGGCUAACUACGUG